GUCACACAACCUAAACGGAAUUAGGGUUGGAUCUGGAAUUGAAUGCAGAAUGCCCAGAUCUUUCUCCCAUAUUGCAAAGCGCCGACUCAGGCAAUCAAUCAGCACAUGUAUUAAGCCGGUGAGGACACAAGAUAAGGCAGAAUGGAGUCCCUGCCUUCAAGGAAUUUAUGCUCUUCCAGAGAAGCCAAGAUGUGAGACAUACAGCCCAGCUCCAAUAACACGGACAAGAGAAUUCCAUGGCAAAGAGCAGAGAAAGUGUGGCUUUCCCAAGGACAGAGGACACUUGCAGGUAGGACAUACACACCAGGAGCGCCUCUUUCUCGGCACUGUGCCUCUGCUGCUCUUCGUGCAGCCUUUCUUCGUACUGGCUGUACAGCUUCCUGGUCAUCUCUCUCAUCACCUCCGCGUUGGCUUCUUGGGAGGAUUCCACCUGCAGAGAGACUCACUUCAGAGCUACAACUCUGGCGGGCUCAGGGGGAAUCCACACCUUUCACUCUAUUUAACUUUGAAACCAAGUAAAUAAUUUGUCUGUUAUAAAUAUUAAAUUUUAAACAAUUAUCUACCAAGAUCAUUCACUGGGACAAGAACAGACCUUUCAACAAAAUGGUGCUGGGAUGAUCAGAUUUGUCACAUACAAAAGAAUGAAGUUGGAUCCCUAAUACACCAUAUACAAAAAUUAACGCGAAAUGGACUAAAGGCUUAAAUGUGAAAGCCAAAACUAUAAAACUCUUAGAAGAAAA